GAGUAACACGUGAGCAACCUGCCUUUCAGAGGGGGAUAACGGCUGGAAACGGUCGCUAAUACCGCAUGAUGUGUUCGGAUGGCAUCAUCUGAACAUCAAAGAUUUAUCGCUGAAAGAUGGGCUCGCGUCUGAUUAGAUAGUUGGUGGGGUAACGGCCUACCAAGUCGACGAUCAGUAGCCGGACUGAGAGGUUGAACGGCCACAUUGGGACUGAGAUACGGCCCAGACUCCUACGGGAGGCAGCAGUGGGGAAUAUUGCACAAUGGGGGAAACCCUGAUGCAGCAACGCCGCGUGAAGGAUGACGGUUUUCGGAUUGUAAACUUCUUUUCUUAGUGACGAAGACAGUGACGGUAGCUAAGGAAUAAGCAUCGGCUAACUACGUGCCAGCAGCCGCGGUAAUACGUAGGAUGCAAGCGUUAUCCGGAUUUACUGGGUGUAAAGGGAGCGCAGGCGGGACUGCAAGUUGGAUGUGAAAUACCGUGGCUUAACCACGGAACUGCAUCCAAAACUGUAGUUCUUGAGUGAAGUAGAGGCAAGCGGAAUUCCGAGUGUAGCGGUGAAAUGCGUAGAUAUUCGGAGGAACACCAGUGGCGAAGGCGGCUUGCUGGGCUUUAACUGACGCUGAGGCUCGAAAGUGUGGGGAGCAAACAGGAUUAGAUACCCUGGUAGUCCACACUGUAAACGAUGAUAGCUAGGUGUGGGGGGUCUGACCCCUUCCGUGCCGGAGUUAACGCAAUAAGCUAUCCACCUGGGGAGUACGACCGCAAGGUUGAAACUCAAAG
rnacentral:rRNA from 1 species